GAGUUUGAUCAUGGCUCAGAGCGAACGUUAGCGGGAGGCUUAACACAUGCAAGUCGAGCGAGAAAAGGGCUUCGGCCCCCAGUACAGCGGCGGACGGGUGAGUAACACGUGGAUAAUCUGCCCUUUGGCGGGGGACAACAGCUCGAAAGGGCUGCUAAUACCGCAUAAGUCUAUCGACCCCCUGGGGACGGUAGGGAAAGAUGGCCUCUAUUUAUAAGCUAUCACCGAAGGAUGAGUCCGCGUUGCAUCAGCUUGUUGGUGGGGUAAAGGCCUACCAAGGCAAAGACACAUAGCUGGUCUGAGAGGAUGAUCAGCCACACUGGGACUGAGAUACGGCCCAGACUCCUACGGGAGGCAGCAGUGGGGAAUAUUGGACAAUGGGCGCAAGCCUGAUCCAGCCAUCCCGCGUGAGUGAUGAAGGCUCUCGGGUCGUAAAGCUCUGUGGGGAGAGACGAAACCUGAAGGGGAUAAUAUCCCUUCAGCUGACGGUAUCUCCUUAGCAAGCACCGGCUAACUCCGUGCCAGCAGCCGCGGUAAUACGGAGGGUGCAAACGUUGCUCGGAAUCAUUGGGCGUAAAGCGCACGUAGGCGGCUUGAUAAGUCGGAUGUGAAAGCCCUCGGCUUAACCGAGGAAGUGCAUUCGAAACUGUCUGGCUUGAGUAUGGGAGAGGAUUGCGGAAUUCCCGGUGUAGAGGUGAAAUUCGUAGAUAUCGGGAGGAACACCAGAGGCGAAGGCGGCAAUCUGGACCAAUACUGACGCUGAGGUGCGAAAGCGUGGGGAG
rnacentral:rRNA from 1 species